rnacentral:misc_RNA from 1 species
GAUGAAGAACGCAGCGAAAUGCGAUAAGUAAUGUGAAUUGCAGAAUUCAGUGAAUCAUCGAAUCUUUGAACGCACUUUGCGCCCGCCAGUAUUCUGGCGGGCAUGCCUGUUCGAGCGUCAUUACAACCCUCAGGCCCCCGGGCCUGGCGUUGGGGAUCGGCGGAGCCCCCCGUGGGCACACGCCGUCCCCCAAAUGCAGUGGCGGUCCCGCCGCAGCUUCCAUCGCGUAGUAGCUAACACCUCGCGACUGGAGAGCGGCGCGGCCACGCCGUAAAACACCCAACUCUUCUGAAGUUGACCUCGAAUCAGGUAGGAAUACCCGCUGAACUUAAGCAUAUCAAUAAGCGGAGGA